CUAACUCAUAGCCCUGUAUUUUGCUAAGUUUUUCCUCUACUCUUGAGUCCUCCUUUAAUCUAUAGAGUGUUAUUCUACACUGGACCUCUCUCUUAUUUUUUGGAGUCUAGCAUCUUGCAUCUUCCUGGAGCCCCAACUAAACUCAUAACUUCUAAGCUUCUAAGAAAUAUAUGACGAGCUCCAUGAGGGCCAAGGCUCUCCAUUCUUGUUCACCACUGCACACUCAGGAGCUCAUGGCAUGCUGGCUGUGCUAGUUCUAGUCAGGGAUAAAGUAGGAUAAGUGAAGGUAUUUAAUUAUUGUUUUCUUUUCCAGAUCCUCAACAGAAUAAUUGCUGACAAACUCUCUUGCCCAGAAAAUGUCUACUGGAAUUAUGGAGUACAAAAAAACUACAAAAGCAAUGAAAAAAAGAAGGAUGUUUUAUUUACAUCCUAUUUCAAAACCAUUGCUUUCUUGCUAUUGUAUGUCUCUGCAGGCCCAAUAUCGCGCAUCUUCAUAAGAAGUUUAGAAUUGUUCCUUAUGUUUCCUUCUAACAAACACUGGUAUAUUCACAUGAAAGUGUAUAUUUUAUUCACUUCCAAAACAGUUAGCUCAUAAUUCAGAACAUUGAGGUUUGCAAAAUGACUGAAGGAAACUUUACCUAAACAAUAGUUGCCAGUUCUGCUGAGAAUUAUCACGGGCCCACAACGGCUGUGUGUUUUUCCAUACAGAUAUUCUAAUUUUUUUAUUAUGCAGCUAAUUUUUUUUUAGACUCGCGAAUAAAAUAGCAAGUCAGUCUGUGCAUAAGCAUAUGUUUAAAUCUACCAGGAGAAAUGUCUGGAAUCUUUUUGGUUAUUAAAAUUAAAAUUCAGGAUAAUGAAAGGCAUAUGCAACUUAUUAUAUUCUUUAUAUAACUUAUUUCAUCUAAUCCUCCAAAUAGCUAUAUAACAUAUUUAUCCCCACCUUACAUAGA
rnacentral:lncRNA from 1 species